UAGGGAAUCUUCCGCAAUGGACGCAAGUCUGACGGAGCAACGCCGCGUGAGUGAAGAAGGAUUUCGGUUCGUAAAACUCUGUUGUUAGAGAAGAACAGCGCAUAGAGUAACUGUUAUGCGUGUGACGGUAUCUAACCAGAAAGCCACGGCUAACUACGUGCCAGCAGCCGCGGUAAUACGUAGGUGGCAAGCGUUGUCCGGAAUUAUUGGGCGUAAAGCGCGCGUAGGCGGUUUUUUAAGUCUGAUGUGAAAGCCCACGGCUCAACCGUGGAGGGUCAUUGGAAACUGGAAAACUUGAGUGCAGAAGAGGAAAGGGGAAUUCCAUGUGUAGCGGUGAAAUGCGCAGAGAUAUGGAGGAACACCAGUGGCGAAGGCGACUUUCUGGUCUGUAACUGACGCUGAUGUGCGAAAGCGUGGGAAUCAAACAGG
rnacentral:rRNA from 1 species